CAUGCAGUCGAGCGCCCCGCAAGGGGAGCGGCAGACGGGUGAGUAACGCGUGGGAAUCUACCCAUCACUACGGAACAACUCCGGGAAACUGGAGCUAAUACCGUAUACGUCCUUCGGGAGAAAGAUUUAUCGGUGAUGGAUGAGCCCGCGUUGGAUUAGCUAGUUGGUGGGGUAAUGGCCUACCAAGGCGACGAUCCAUAGCUGGUCUGAGAGGAUGAUCAGCCACACUGGGACUGAGACACGGCCCAGACUCCUACGGGAGGCAGCAGUGGGGAAUAUUGGACAAUGGGCGCAAGCCUGAUCCAGCCAUGCCGCGUGAGUGAUGAAGGCCCUAGGGUUGUAAAGCUCUUUCAACGGUGAAGAUAAUGACGGUAACCGUAGAAGAAGCCCCGGCUAACUUCGUGCCAGCAGCCGCGGUAAUAC
rnacentral:rRNA from 1 species